GACGAACGCUGGCGGCGUGCUUAACACAUGCAAGUCGAACGGAAAGGCCCUGCUUUUGUGGGGUGCUCGAGUGGCGAACGGGUGAGUAACACGUGAGUAACCUGCCCUUGACUUUGGGAUAACUUCAGGAAACUGGGGCUAAUACCGGAUAGGAGCUCCUGCUGCAUGGUGGGGGUUGGAAAGUUUCGGCGGUUGGGGAUGGACUCGCGGCUUAUCAGCUUGUUGGUGGGGUAGUGGCUUACCAAGGCUUUGACGGGUAGCCGGCCUGAGAGGGUGACCGGCCACAUUGGGACUGAGAUACGGCCCAGACGCCUACGGGAGGCAGCAGUGGGGAAUAUUGCACAAGGGGCGGAAGCCUGAUGCAGCAACGCCGCGUGCGGGAGGACGGCCUUCGGGUUGGAAACCGCUUUCGCCUGUGACGAAGCGUGAGGGACGGUAAUGGGUAAAGAAGCACCGGCGAACUACGU
rnacentral:rRNA from 1 species